rnacentral:rRNA from 1 species
AGUAAUGUAUCGGAACGUGCCCAGUCGUGGGGGAUAACUGCUCGAAAGAGCAGCUAAUACCGCAUACGACCCGAGGGUGAAAGCGGGGGAUCGCAAGACCUCGCGCGAUUGGAGCGGCCGAUAUCAGAUUAGGUAGUUGGUGAGGUAAAGGCUCACCAAGCCGACGAUCUGUAGCUGGUCUGAGAGGACGACCAGCCACACUGGGACUGAGACACGGCCCAG